GGAUAACUCAGUUGGUAGAGUAUGAGACUCUUAAUCUCAGGGCCUUGGGGGUUUGAACCCCAUGUUGGGCA